rnacentral:rRNA from 1 species
UACGGAGGGUGCAAGCGUUUGUCCGGAAUCACUGGGCGUAAAGGGCGCGUAGGCGGCUCAUGAAGGCUGUGGUGAAAGUCCGGGGCUCAACCUCGGAUCGGCCGUGGCGACUCGUGGGCUGGAGCACUGUAGAGGCGGGUGGAAUUCCGGGUGUAGCGGUGGAAUGCGUAGAGAUCCGGAGGAACACCAGUGGCGAAGGCGGCCCGCUGGGCAGUGGCUGACGCUGAGGCGCGACAGCGUGGGGAGCAAACAGG